AUGAAAAUUGAAGCUAUAGUUUCCGGCCGGCGUCUGCCAUGCUGGUCAACCAAGGAUGACGUGGACGCGGACGGCGAGGGUGAAGAUGGAGAUGAGGGCGAAGUAGAUGACGGCGUGGAAGAGCACGGAGACGCCGCUGGUCUGCUUGUUACCGAACUCCAGGAACCUGUUCUUGCCGGGGACCUGGAAGAGCAGCCCCGGCGAGAGGAGCACGAAGAGCACCAGCGCGAUGAACACCGGGGCCCAGUCCGCCAUGUCUCCUCUCCGGCCGGCACACUUGCUCUGGGAUCCUACGUAUGA
rnacentral:rRNA from 1 species